CCUACGGGCGGCAGCAGUGGGGAAUAUUGCUCAAUGGGGGAAACCCUGAUGCAGCAACGCCGCGUGAAUGAUGACGGCUUUCGGAUUGUAAAGCUCUUUUUUUAGGGACGAUAAUGACGGUAUCUGACGAGUAAGCAACGGCUAACUCCGUGCCAGCAGCCGCGGUAAUACGGAGGUGGCGAGCGUUGUGCGGAUUCACUGGGCGUAAAGGGGGCGUAGGCGGAAUAUUAAGUGAGAUGUGAAAUACUCGGGCUCAACAUGAGUACUGCAUUUGAAACUGGUAGUCUAGAGUGUAGGAGAGGUAGGUGGAAUUCCUGGUGUAGCGGUGAAAUGCGUAGAGAUUAAGAGGAACA
rnacentral:rRNA from 1 species